GCCUCCCAAGUAGCUCAGUUGGUAGAGCAUGAGACUUUUAAUCUCAGGGCUGUGGGUUCGAGCCCCACGUGGGGCA